rnacentral:tRNA from 1 species
GAGAGAUGGCUCAGCAGUUAAGAGCACUUGCUCUUGCAGAGGACCUGGGUUCAAUUCCCAGCUCUCA